GCUUCUUGGGGGAGGACUCACCACCUUUGCCUGCAUUUUGCAGUGGGGACUUGACCCUCUUCCGAGCAAAGUGUGCCUCCAUUUCUGGCCUCUGGAUUCCAGAUUGAUCGGCUGCAUUAGUGGGGACUUGACUCUCUUCCGAGCAAAGUGUGCCUCCAUUUCUGGCCUCCGGUUAAAACCGCCCGGGCGCUGCAUCACCACAUCAAAAUGCUGCGAAAUCUGGUGCAAGACCUGGAAAAGAAGGUGGAACUCGACAAGAGGAAUGGCCGCACUGGAGCUGUGAAGGAGAACAAUCUACGGCAGCUUCGGGAGGCUGCCGCGCUCUAUCAUCUCCUCACUCGGUGAUGUUUAACGCGUCGGUGAUAUAGCUAGCUGAAAGGCUAUCCUCUGCCGUUUUGAUGUAUGGCCAUUUGGUCCUACAAGGUUUACCUGUUGUUCGGUAAUUCGAAGUUGGCUGUGGUGCAAGUGUCAAGAAUCUUGUGUGUAGCCCGGAGCUUGUAGUGUGGGAUAUGAUGCAAGUUCUGUUGCAGGCUUUAGUGUGUGAUACUGUGAUCGUUUUGUGUGCCAAGUGUGAGAAGCAUCGGCUUGAUGUAUUGGGUUAA